GCUCUCGUGGCGGAAUUGGCAGACGCGCCGGAUUUAGGAUCCGGUUCUUAACAGAGUAGGGGUUCGACCCCCCUCGAGAGCACCA
rnacentral:tRNA from 1 species